CCAGAGUUCGUACAGCCUGCCUUCGGCCAUCAGCCCUAGCAGGCUGCGACUCCCCAAAUCCUUUCCGUGCAUUACAUGCGCUGGCCAGGAACUCCGCCAUAGCUGUGACAAAACAAGAACAGAAACAAACAACACCACAAGACAGAAACCAUCACAUAGCCUAGAAAUUGGGGAGGGUGGGAGGGAAACUGUUCCAGACCGCUACUUCUGCUCUGGUGAGUACCCUCCCUUCUGCAUUCCUUCUUAUAUCCC